CGUCAUUUGUACCCUCCAGCCCUGCUGGGUGUUGGGCGUUUGUUCCGCUGCGCGCGUGAACUCGCCUCAAAUGCAUUGGCAGCCAGCCGUCCCGGUGGGAGCGCAGCACAUUUUGCGCUUUGCCCGGCGUGCGGUGGCGUCCACAAGACUACCUUCUUACGCUUGACCUCGGAUCAGGUAGGGAUACCCGCUGAACUUAA
rnacentral:misc_RNA from 1 species